GGUUGGGUAACACUAACUGGAGGACCGAACCGACUAAUGUUGAAAAAUUAGCGGAUGACCUGUGGCUGGGGGUGAAAGGCCAAUCAAACCGGGAGAUAGCUGGUUCUCCCCGAAAGCUAUUUAGGUAGCGCCUCGUGAAUUCAUCUCCGGGGGUAGAGCACUGUUUCGGCUAGGGGGCCAUCCCGGCUUACCAACCCGAUGCAAACUGCGAAUACCGGAGAAUGUUAUCACGGGAGACACACGGCGGGUGCUAACGUCCGUCGUGAAGAGGGAAACAACCCAGACCGCCAGCUAAGGUCCCAAAGUCAUGGUUAAGUGGGAAACGAUGUGGGAAGGCCCAGACAGCCAGGAUGUUGGCUUAGAAGCAGCCAUCAUUUAAAGAAAGCGUAAUAGCUCACUGGUCGAGUCGGCCUGCGCGGAAGAUGUAACGGGGCUAAACCAUGCACCGAAGCUGCGGCAGCGACACUGUGUGUUGUUGGGUAGGGGAGCGUUCUGUAAGCCUGCGAAGGUGGCCUGUGAGGGUUGCUGGAGGUAUCAGAAGUGCGAAUGCUGACAUAAGUAACGAUAAAGCGGGUGAAAAGCCCGCUCGCCGGAAGACCAAGGGUUCCUGUCCAACGUUAAUCGGGGCAGGGUGAGUCGACCCCUAAGGCGAGGCCGAAAGGCGUAGUCGAUGGGAAACGGGUUAAUAUUCCCGUACUUGGUGUUACUGCGAAGGGGGGACGGAGAAGGCUAUGUUGGCCGGGCGACGGUUGUCCCGGUUUAAGCGUGUAGGUGUGUGUUCCAGGUAAAUCCGGUUCACUUUAACACUGAGGCGUGACGACGAGGCACUACGGUGCUGAAGCAACAAAUGCCCUGCUUCCAGGAAAAGCCUCUAAGCAUCAGGUAACAUCAAAUCGUACCCCAAACCGACACAGGUGGUCAGGUAGAGAAUACCAAGGCGCUUGAGAGAACUCGGGUGAAGGAACUAGGCAAAAUGGUGCCGUAACUUCGGGAGAAGGCACGCUGACACGUAGGUGAAGUGAUUUACUCAUGGAGCUGAAGUCAGUCGAAGAUACCAGCUGGCUGCAACUGUUUAUUAAAAACACAGCACUGUGCAAACACGAAAGUGGACGUAUACGGUGUGACGCCUGCCCGGUGCCGGAAGGUUAAUUGAUGGGGUCAGCGCAAGCGAAGCUCCUGAUCGAAGCCCCGGUAAACGGCGGCCGUAACUAUAACGGUCCUAAGGUAGCGAAAUUCCUUGUCGGGUAAGUUCCGACCUGCACGAAUGGCGUAAUGAUGGCCAGGCUGUCUCCACCCGAGACUCAGUGAAAUUGAACUCGCUGUGAAGAUGCAGUGUACCCGCGGCAAGACGGAAAGACCCCGUGAACCUUUACUAUAGCUUGACACUGAACAUUGAGCCUUGAUGUGUAGGAUAGGUGGGAGGCUUUGAAGUGUGGACGCCAGUCUGCAUGGAGCCGACCUUGAAAUACCACCCUUUAAUGUUUGAUGUUCUAACGUGGACCCGUUACCCGGGUUGCGGACAGUGUCUGGUGGGUAGUUUGACUGGGGCGGUCUCCUCCUAAAGAGUAACGGAGGAGCACGAAGGUUGGCUAAUCCUGGUCGGACAUCAGGAGGUUAGUGCAAUGGCAUAAGCCAGCUUGACUGCGAGCGUGACGGCGCGAGCAGGUGCGAAAGCAGGUCAUAGUGAUCCGGUGGUUCUGAAUGGAAGGGCCAUCGCUCAACGGAUAAAAGGUACUCCGGGGAUAACAGGCUGAUACCGCCCAAGAGUUCAUAUCGACGGCGGUGUUUGGCACCUCGAUGUCGGCUCAUCACAUCCUGGGGCUGAAGUAGGUCCCAAGGGUAUGGCUGUUCGCCAUUUAAAGUGGUACGCGAGCUGGGUUUAGAACGUCGUGAGACAGUUCGGUCCCUAUCUGCCGUGGGCGCUGGAGAACUGAGGGGGGCUGCUCCUAGUACGAGAGGACCGGAGUGGACGCAUCACUGGUGUUCGGGUUGUCAUGCCAAUGGCACUGCCCGGUAGCUAAAUGCGGAAGAGAUAAGUGCUGAAAGCAUCUAAGCACGAAACUUGCCCCGA
rnacentral:rRNA from 1 species